AGAGUUUGAUCCUGGCUCAGAUUGAACGCUGGCGGCAUGCCUAACACAUGCAAGUCGAACGCAAGUAAGGGGCAACUCUUACUUGAGUGGCGGACGGGUGAGUAAUGCGUAGGAAUCUACCUCAAAGUGGGGGAUAACUCGGGGAAACUCGAGCUAAUACCGCAUAUGUUCUACGGAGCAAAGGGGCCUUCGGGUCUCGC
rnacentral:rRNA from 1 species